AUUGAUUUGGCAGAUUAAGUGCAUUAAAUUUAGAUUUUAAAUAAGUAAUUAUAGUUACAUUCAAUA
rnacentral:tRNA from 1 species